GACGAACGUUGGCGGCGUGCCUAAUACAUGCAAGUCGAGCGAAGUUUUUCUGGUGCUUGCACUAGAAAAACUUAGCGGCGAACGGGUGAGUAACACGUAAAGAACCUGCCUCAUAGACUGGGACAACUAUUGGAAACGAUAGCUAAUACCGGAUAACAGUAUUUCUCGCAUGAGAGAUAUUUAAAAGUUGGUUAUGCUAACACUAUGAGAUGGCUUUGCGGUGCAUUAGCUAGUUGGUGGGGUAAAGGCCCACCAAGGCGACGAUGCAUAGCCGACCUGAGAGGGUGAUCGGCCACACUGGGACUGAGACACGGCCCAGACUCCUACGGGAGGCAGCAGUAGGGAAUCUUCCGCAAUGGGCGAAAGCCUGACGGAGCAACGCCGCGUGAGUGAAGAAGGAUUUCGGUUCGUAAAGCUCUGUUGUUAGGGAAGAAUGGAUAUGUAGUAACUAUACAUGUAAGAGACGGUACCUAACCAGAAAGCCACGGCUAACUACGUG
rnacentral:rRNA from 1 species